AUUGAACGCUGGCGGCAGGCCUAACACAUGCAAGUCGGACGGUAGCACAGAGAGCUUGCUCUUGGGUGACGAGUGGCGGACGGGUGAGUAAUGUCUGAGGAUCUGCCCGAUAGAGGGGGAUAACCACUGGAAACGGUGGCUAAUACCGCAUAACGUCGCAAGACCAAAGAGGGGGACCUUCGGGCCUCUCACUAUCGGAUGAACCCAGAGGGGAUUAGCUAGUAGGCGGGGUAAUGGCCCACCUAGGCGACGAUCCCUAGCUGGUCUGAGAGGAUGACCAGCCACACUGGAACUGAGACACGGUUCAGACUCCUACGGGAGGCAGCAGUGGGGAAUAUUGCACAAUGGGCGCAAGCCUGAUGCAGCCAUGCCGCGUGUAUGAAGAAGACCUUCGGGUUGUAAAGUACUUUCAGCGGGGAGGAAGGCGGUGCGGUUAAUAACCGUACCGAUUGACGUUACCCGCAGAAGAAGCACCGGCUAACUCCGUGCCAGCCGCCGCCGUAA
rnacentral:rRNA from 1 species